AUGAAAAGCAAAAGAAGACCAGAAGAACAGGCUGCCCUUCUUCUUUCCAUUUGUAGCUACACGUUUCUGGAGGUGAUUCCUGGAACCUGGCUUCUGUUUUUCUUCCAGAUUUUGGAACCUGCCUCUGCCUUUCCUGAUUCUGCCAGGAGAAAUGUUCCUGCCUGCAUUUGGAUUUGUCUACAGAUGCCCUCUGAAAUCGUUGCCUGGUUCUUCUUGGUACUUGCUAGUGAAAACUGAUGGAAUUCUGUGCUACUGGAAACUAAUUGUCUCUCUUGUUUGGUACUUUGCUUGCAGCCUGUGCCCUGUAAAAAAUUAAAGAGAAUUUAUUCAAUCAACUGAAUGUAUGACAAUUUAGCAAACAGGAACUUUUGCUGUUUUCAUUGUUUUCUUCCCCAAAAUCUAAUUUAAACCCACGUUCCUCUG
rnacentral:lncRNA from 1 species